AGAGUUUGAUCCUGGCUCAGGACGAACGCUGGCGGCGUGCUUAACACAUGCAAGUCGAACGGAGCGAAUGAAAGCUUGCUUUUAUAAGCUUAGUGGCAAACGGGUGAGUAACACGUAGGCAACCUGCCGACAGGAUGGGGACAACAUUCCGAAAGGAAUGCUAAUACCGAAUGAAGCGGAGGAGAGGCAUCUCUCCUCCGUGAAAGAUGGCCUCUAUUUAUAAGCUAUCACCUGUCGAUGGGUCUGCGUCUGAUUAGCUAGUUGGUGAGGUAACGGCUCACCAAGGCGACGAUCAGUAGCCGACCUGAGAGGGUGAACGGCCACAUUGGAACUGAGACACGGUCCAAACUCCUACGGGAGGCAGCAGUGGGGAAUAUUGCACAAUGGGGGAAACCCUGAUGCAGCAACGCCGCGUGAACGAUGAAGGCCUUUGGGUCGUAAAGUUCUGUUCUAGGUGAUGAAAACUGACAGUAACCUAGGAGAAAGCCCCGGCUAACUCCGUGCCAGCAGCCGCGGUAAUACGGAGGGGGCAAGCGUUAUCCGGAAUUAUUGGGCGUAAAGGGUACGUAGGUGGCCUUUUAAGCGUAGGGUAUAAGGCAAUGGCUCAACCAUUGUUCGCCCUAUGAACUGGAAGGCUUGAGUGCAGGAGAGGAAAGCGGAAUUCCUAGUGUAGCGGUGAAAUGCAUAGAUAUUAGGAGGAACAUCAGCGGCGAAGGCGGCUUUCUGGACUGCAACUGACACUGAGGUACGAAAGCGUGGGGAGCAAACAGGAUUAGAUACCCUGGUAGUCCACGCCGUAAACGAUGAGUGCUAGGUGUUAGACCCUUUCCGGGGUUUAGUGCCGCAGCUAACGCAUUAAGCACUCCGCCUGGGGAGUACGACCGCAAGGUUGAAACUCAAAGGAAUUGACGGG
rnacentral:rRNA from 1 species